AGAGUCGUCUGGCGGCAGCGGUCUCGCGCGGCUGUGGCCCGCUUACUCCCGCCUCCGUGUGCUUGGGCCGGCGUCGGCGGCGCCGAGCAGGGCCGGGCCGCUCCCCUUUCCGGCGGCACCGCUGCUGAAAUGGGUCUGCUUUCAGAAGAUGCAAUGCACUAGAUGUGGUGCUGGAACAGGAUUAGUCAUGGCAUCAGAACUAUGUAAAACAAUCUCUGAGGCAAAGCUGGAAAGGCACAAGAACUUGUUCUUAAAUUACCGAAAUCUCCAUCACUUUCCUUUGGAGCUACUGAAAGAUGAGGGGCUGCAGUACUUGGAGAGACUUUAUAUGAAAAGAAAUUCCCUGACCACAUUGCCAGAAAACCUUGCACAGAAGCUUCCAAACCUCGUGGAAUUGUACCUUCAUUCAAAUAACAUAGUUGUUGUACCUGAAGCCAUUGGCUCCCUGGUUAAACUGCAGUUUCUGGACCUAAGUGAUAAUGCCCUCGAAAUUGUGUGUCCAGAGAUUGGCCGCCUGAGAUCUUUACGUCAUCUUCGCUUGGCUAACAACCAGCUGAAAUAUUUACCUGCAGAGGUUGGAGACCUGAGGGAGCUGCAAACGCUGGACAUUUCAACCAAUCGUUUGAUAACAUUACCUGAAAGGCUGCAUAUGUGCCUUUCGCUGCAGUACUUGACUGCAGACCGAAACCACCUGUGGUAUGUUCCUCGGCACCUGUGCCAACUACCAAGCCUCAAUGAGCUCUCCAUGGCUGGAAACCGCCUUGCGUUUUUGCCGCUUGAUUUAGGUCGUUCUCGGGAGCUACAAUAUGUUUAUGUGGAUAACAAUAUUCAUCUGAAAGGUCUCCCAUCUUACCUGUAUAAUAAAGUCAUUGGUUGCAGUGGUUGUGGUUCUCCAAUUCAAGUUUCAGAGGUGAAACUGCUCUCUUUUUCAUCAGGCCAGUUAACUGUGUUCUUGCCAGCAGAGGUGAAAUCUAUAGGGACAGAAAUGGAUCAUGUGCUGCCUUUGCAAGAACUGGCCAUGAGGACCCUCUAUAACACCUACUACAGGUUUUUAAAAGAUUUGAACUUUCUGACUCCAAUCUCACUACCCAAAAGCCUCUUGGAAUUGCUGCACUGUCCCUUGGGACACUGCCACCGCUGCAGCCAGCCUAUGUUUACCAUUGUCUACCCAAAGCUCUUUCCCUUGAGGGAAACUCCAAUGGCAGGAUUGCAUCAAGGACAAGAAUGUACUGUGUUCCACAAAAUGCCUUAAUACAGUCUUAAGUAGCUGACAUUUGAUGCAAAUCCACAGAAAAUGAGAUCUAAACAGAGCAGCCUGUCAUCCUUAUCUCUAUAGCUUGUGCACUUGACACGGAGGACAACUGUUAGUUUUGUGGCAUACUGCUGCUCCACCCAAUGUCUGCAGACUUUUGACCUACUGAGUUGAUAAACAUUUAAAACUACUCAGGAGUGCUGCCAGUUUAAAGCUGCAUUAGGCGUCAUAUCCCAUUGGUACUGGAAUACUGUGUGCGUGCGUGUGUGCCAAAGCAGCAGAAGUGCCCAGUCGGGAGCACUAAGAGGCACUUAAAUCCUGCCCUAUCAAGUUUGGAUGAACUGCAGAAACUUUUCGGAAGUGUAAAUACCAAGCUUUUAAAAGUAUUAACUUCUCUCUCCUCCAAGACAGCAUACAAACCAAACAAAUUUGCAAGCUCUGACUUCAGGAUUUCCAGUAUUUUUCAAACGUGGCUGUCUUCAGGUUGACCCAUUGCAUCACUUGAGGCAGUUUUCAUUCUUCUAAUGGGAUAAAAAAAGGUUCAGUUAUGACAAAUGAGUUUUCACUUACUCCCCCAUCUUCUUCACCCCUAGAGCUGGAUUCAGGUGUAUAGACCUAAGCCUACAGAAACCUUGGUGGAUCCCGGUGGCUUUCCCACAGAAUUUAACUUUAUUUUCUCCCUCUCAUCUUAAUAUUUUCGCCAGCAGAAUUAUCCCAGUUGUAUACCAAGUCUUUGACAGUUAACUCUGGUGUUUAAAUCCACACAUUAAAAGCAAAACUUUCUGGUAUCAUUAGAAGCCACACUGAUUUAGUUGGAAUAACUAGGAUAUGUCUGGAGACGAAAGAUCUUGCUCCAGUAAAGAAAGCUGGUACUGAUGCCUGCACUAAGUGGUCUUGCUCCAGCAUGUUCAAAGGUGUGUUUAUUUUCAUCACUCAAGUUUUUAUUUCUAAAAACACUUCCCCUUUUGCUUCUUUGAGUUCUUCAGGAAGAUGAUGAUUUUAAGUAUUGAUUUCCUUUGAAAAAAACCAUGGUAAUAGGAUAGUAAAUAUUUAUCUAUAUUAUAUUUUUACAGUUGCAGACUGUAGUUCUGCAAAGAGUUGGUCUUCAUCUUUUUCUAGGUUCAGCAUUUGGCUGAUUUGUGGAAGUGUGUCAGUGGAGUGUGUUAAUCUCAGAGAAGGCUGGAAGUCUGGGGGGGAGGUAUGUGUACCUCCAUGCAUAGGUAUAUAUGCAUACAUAGAUAUCUUCACAGAAGGGCUGUAAUUGUUUUCAUAUAUUAAUGGCAGAUUUAGCCCAAAUUUCCACUAUCAUAUUUGUGGAACUCCGUUUUUGUUAGAACGUUUUCAUUUUAAAUAAAGGACGAAGGAUGGAAAAAGGCCCAAAAUGCCUGCAUGACUUAAAUUUUUGAUUUUACACUGAAACACUUUCUACAAAAUUAGCCCCUCUUGAUUUGUUUUGGAAUAUAUAAAUUUUUAAAUUUUUUUUUUAGCUUAGGUAUAAACUACUUGUUGAUUUAGCACAGCAUGCUACUCGGUGCAGUAGGCAGUUACCAGCUGAAAUAGAUAUGAAUGAAACAGUUUGUUAUAAAAAUGGCAAGAUAAAGAGACUUAUUUGGUAGUAUAUUAGCAUAUGUUGUGGUGAGGUGUGCAUACUUUGAAGGGAGGAGGCACUAAAAUGUUUUCCUUUUGCCAAAGAAGCAUUUGUUCCCGCUGCAGGAUUCCUGGCAUCUCUUCAAUAAAUAGAGUAUCUUAAGAACUUAAAAGAGUACCAAAAAGGCAGUUUUUGAGGGUGGGAUUUUUAGGUUGUACAUGUUACUUGUAAAAUCUUUGCUGGUUUUGUUGGGUGGUUUGAGAGAGUUGAAUUAGCAUUAAGAAAUGUAGAACUUAAUCCUUCAGGAAUGCAAGUAUCAUCUACUGUUUAAGAAUUGUGAAACUUUCUAAAAUAAAUCCUGUUUAGUAAAUCUGCUUUGCAGUAGGGGAAAGAGCCAUGUCCAAGCAAACUUUGUACUAUUGGAUUUCAGACUGUCAUUUCACUAAUUUGUUUCAAUGUUGGUAUCCCCAGCAGGCCUUCCCACCCAGCAGGGUUUACCACUGAUGCAGCAAAAUGAAUCUUCAGCUUUUUUUCUUUUCCUUUAGUACCACACAGUUGAGAUGUAAAUUGCCUAUGUACAACUAUACCUAUAUCAGAAAUAUGCGAGUCUAGUACAAAAUCUUUUUUUUUAAACGGACGGUAGAAGAACUAUGGUAGUGUUACAAAUAGUAAUUUUUUAUACAAUACUCUGAUCAGGAAUUUUCAGUGUUAUUUCCACUGUGGCUUCUUCUGUUUUUGAAGGAGAUGUUUUGCUGGCAGUUCGUCCUCUUUUUAUAGUCACUUAUAGACUUUAAAACACAGUUGAUUUCUGAAUUCAGUCUGUAAAUAUUAUUUUGGAGUUAAAUCUUUUGAUAAGCUAAAAGGCAUUGGCGUAUGUUUUCUUAGGAGUCAGAUAGUAAAAGAGGAGCUUGAUUUUGUAAUUAUUAUUUAUUUUUUAUUUUCUUUCUUCUUCCCAUAGUGAUUUUUUAUUGAGUUCAUAUCAGUCUCUUUAUUAGUCUCUACAAGUGCAGUUCAGAAGAAAUUUAGUCUGUUCUAUAAGCAGGAUGAAUCUUAACUAAUACUUUAAUAGAUGAUAUUUCAAGAAUGGAAUGUUCAAUGAAUAAAUGACUUAAACACGCAAUUGAAGCUGAAAUGUCAUACCCUAUUUUUAUAAAACAAGGAAGAGAAAAGCCAAAAUAUAGACUGAAAAUGCACUUAAAUUCAUGUUUCUCUGAUGUUUUUUUGAUACGAACAGUGUUUGUAUUCAUCUGUAUCUUUGGGUGAUAUUGUUCUAGAUUAAAAUAACUCCAUUCUCACUUGUCCAAAUUUUUCUAAAGUUGUUCUACUGUAAGAGUAUUUCAUAACGAGCCAACAUGAGAGCCAGCUAUGCAAGUUGCUGGGGGGAGAGGGAGCGUCUGUUGCUGAUUGAACUGCGCAUCACUUGUUUUUCAAUACAAGGUGUCACAAUAGUUGGACUUCUCCUUAAUACAUUUAUUUCUAGGUAAUUUUUGAUUGCUUGCUCUUGUUCGUCAAAGUGAAUAGUUAAUUCACAUUGAGAUAAUUUUUUCCUGGUACUGCAAAAAAUCUGGUUCCAGGAGGUUUUUUUUUAAAAGCGCUUUUUUUUUUGUCAUAACAGUAGAUCUUGACUCUUCACUUAGGGUGGGAGUAGUAGAAGUUUCUGGGGUCUUUUUCUAGGUGUAUAAAGAGAAGGGUGCAGGAGAGAAAUGAGACAAGAUGUCUUUAACCCACUGAUAUUGGUAUAAUUUUUUUCUGAGUACAGAUUAACUCCUAAUGUGAUUAGGGAGCACAGGCAUGAUUUUUGUUUAUGUUGUGAUAACAGGCACCAUGUUAAUGAAAUCUGGACCCUACUGCUUUUAGAGAUAACUUUUUGUUCUGCCAUAAAGGAAACAGAGGAAUCUCUGGCUUUGUUUAAAAACACUACUUGAGCAAUUUUACUGUGGACACUGUCACAUGUGGAGCACUGUUCUUAGGAGCCUUCCUGUUACUCCUCUGGAGGAUCAAAAAUACAAAUGUCCUUUCCUGUGCGAAGAACAAGGCCUAAUAUCAAGAAGCACAUAUUUUUUCUGCUUUGGCCUGAUGCUUCUCUUGGGCUGUUACUGAGUUCAUUACAAACCUUCCACUUAUUUUGUUGCAGUGAGGUUAAGAUCUUACACUGAGCAGAGCCGAGCUGUUUAUGGUCAGGUUGGCUUCCAUUCUUAUAUAUCGAAUUCUGCUGAAUCCCUUUUUCUGGCAUGAAGGGAGGAUGAGACUCUUGUAACCCCCGUGUGGUGGCAGCGUGUCAGGUUUUACUGACAUCAUAGCCAAGGUGAAGACUGGCAAGUGACAAACCUUUCACCAGAGAGGACUUUUUUGAAGGCCACCAUGGCCCCAUCAGAGUACUGCUGAUAACAGAGGAACUUUUGCCUUGAUGUCAGUGGAGGAUGGAUCGAGUUUUAAUUUAUGAGAGAAUAAAGUGUUUUAUCAUCUUCGUAUUUCUUGCAAAACCUGGGACAAUGACACUGAAUUCCAUGCCUGCUGCUAGGCAGCCUCUCUAUCUGCAGCUGAAUUUACGUAAUUCCAAGACGUAACUAUCUUUGCCUCUUACCUCCCUCUUAAUACUACUCACAUUGUUGCAAAAUGUUAUCAUUAACUUGUGAUGGAAGAGGCUGAGUAAAUUGAAUCCAGGGUUUUUAUUACUUUUUGUAUUACAGACCUAUUUUGUAAGAGAACAAAGGUCUGGUGGAAAGAAAUGGCAAGGUUCAUGUGAAGUCUUCAUUGCUUUUGCUUUUAUGUGCCCUUCUUUGGAUUACAACUUGAACUUGGAUUGCAACUGAGUUCAUUCUAUGUCUGUUGAAAGCAUAUGUGUAUUGCAUUUUUCCUCUGUAUUGACCAAAUGUCACUUAGUGUGAAGGUGAGCUUGCUAGAUGUUUUAUUUAAAGUUAGUGGUGCGAUUUAUUGUAUGUGCUUGUUAAUAAACUAUAUUUUUGGAUAGAAUUACAGUC